CGAGUUGAUAAGUUGUAGAAGUUGCGUUGUCGUUGUCGUUGAGUUGUCAUUUGUCAAUGAGUUGUUAAUAAAGAACUAAGUGAAGUAUUUAUAUUUAUUAAUCAUUGUUGUUUAUGUUGUUGUUAUAUCAAUAUAAGAUGAUGAAUAUGUUGUUUGUUUACAUGAUUAUGAUUAAGAUGAAUAUGUUGUUUGUUUAUAUGAUUAUUAUCAUUAAGUGAUGAUUAUGUCAUGCUGUAUAUGAUUAUUAUUAUUAUUAACUGAUGAUUAAGU
rnacentral:lncRNA from 1 species